rnacentral:rRNA from 1 species
CCUACGGGAGACAGCAGUGAGGAAUAUUGGUCAAUGGACGAGAGUCUGAACCAGCCAAGUAGCGUGAAGGAUGACUGCCCUAUGGGUUGUAAACUUCUUUUAUAAAGGAAUAAAACGAGGCACGUGUGCCUUUUUGCAUGUACUUUAUGAAUAAGGAUCGGCUAACUCCGUGCCAGCAGCCGCGGUAAUACGGAGGAUCCGAGCGUUAUCCGGAUUUAUUGGGUUUAAAGGGAGCGUAGAUGGGUUGUUAAGUCAGUUGUGAAAGUUUGCGGCUCAACCGUAAAAUUGCAAUUGAAACUGGCAGUCUUGAGUACAGUUGAGGUAGGCGGAAUGCGUGGUGUAGCGGUGAAAUGCUUAGAUAUCACGCAGAACCCCGAUUGCGAAGGCAGCAUACUAACCUGUGACUGACAUUGAUGCUCGAAAGUGUGGGUAUCAAACAGGAUUAGAUACCCUUGUAGUC